UGUGUACAAGUUCUCGGUGCUAUAUACCAUAGAAACGAUUUUCCUUGCUUCAUUUUAGAUAUUACUUUCCUAGUGAUCAGACGUUUUUCCAAGUAUUCCAGCGAUAACCAAUCAAAAUGCCGGACAAUAAAACUUCCAACACCCAGCAGAGAGCCGCCGCUAUAAAGGAAUCCAUACAAGCGUACCAACAAGGUGAAGGUACCAAGAGUCCUGAGCAACGAGCUGCGGCUGUGAAGCAGGGAGUUCAACAGAACAACAGCCGCAAAUAAGUUGCCGGUUACUGAUGUCGCCUGCGCUAGUUGGUUCUACCGGUAGGUACCUAGAGACUAGAAUAACUAUGACGUCAUGUUCCGUUUGACCGGCUCAGCUGGAUUUCCAGAUGGGAAAUGGCGUCUCCGAUAUGCUACUCUCUAGUGAAACUACGUCGGUGGAGCCACUAUCAUAUGAAUCAUAAGUAAAUACAUGCGAUAUCAACCA